rnacentral:lncRNA from 1 species
UAACUUUCUUAAUAUUGUGCCAGUAAUGUAUAUCUCUCUAGAUAGAAAGUCAGUUUUCUAUCCUUUUUUUUCCUUUAGAAAAUCUUAGUGUAAGUGGAAAUAUAACAGUAUAAUACUAAACUGGAUACCUGUAUAGUACCAUUCUUACCAAUAAACAGCUAGGUUUUAUAAACAUCUAGGUCUAUCACCUGAAGUAUUAAUCAGGAAUCAAGCAAUUUGACCACUGACUUCACACAUAUACAUGCCUAUGUGGAUGCCAUACAGAUUAUGUGCGCCUUUCCUAAGUCCCUGGGAUUUCUCUCUCUCUCUCUUUUCUCCCCCUUUUCAGGCAUCUAAGUGUAUGGAAUUCUAUUCUUUGAUUGGAGUCAGAAAAGACAUACGCAUUCACUAGGGAAGUCAAUUUGUUAGCAGCAAGUAUUUGAAACCAAAGAAGUAUCUGAUUUAAUGAAAGCAGACAUUCACUCAUACUUUAAAAACACAUAAUUUUUUUUAAGUGAAAGCAAGUUAAAGAAGCAUUUCUUUAUGUUUUCAUGAUCAGAAUGGAUCUGUAUUUGUUAUGUUCCUAAGACACAAACACACUCUGCUUAGAUCAGAGCACACUCCAAUGCCUUUGCUCCACAGCCCACCCCACUCCCAAUAAAUCACUAUUUCCUUAUGCAUUACACAUUGAAUACAAACGUGCCACCUUUACUAUGCUGUAGGGAGAGGGGCAAGAAGAUUAGCUAUAUAACUUGUCAUUUACCUCUUUCUCUAUGAUACAGCCCUCUUCCUAUUUUCAUCACUUUAACUAAAAAUGAAUCUAGAGCUCUUGUCAGUGACAUAAUGUUUUCAUGAAAGUUCUACUAAUUAAAAAUCCUCACCAUACCAGACCUAAAAAAUGAGCACACUCUUGCCAAGUGUUAUUCACCACAGAGAAGCUCUUGUAGUUACAUUUUAAAGGAGGACCCAGAGGAAGAUGCUGCGGAGGGAGAAAGUCUACUAACAUAUACAUUGAGGUUUACCAGUUGUCAGCAUCAGAGGGACAGACUAUUUUUAAUAGAGAUCCUUCAAGAAAACAACAACAAGAAGAAAAAAAAAGAAAAGAAAACAUCCAUCUCCGAACAGCUGAGCAUAAGACAUGUGCAGUUUCGGAUAAUAGAAGCUUUUACUGGAAUAAAGAACCACAAUUACAGGAAAUAGAUCUGUUUUUUUNNNNNNNNNNNNNNNNNNNNNNNNNNNNNNNNNNNNNNNNNNNNNNNNNNNNNNNNNNNNNNNNUUUAAUGAUAAGGAGAUGGUGGUUUUUAUUGCAUUGGCAGGAAAACACUUUCAGACUACUGCUUUUGCCCAUACUUACAGUGCUAUCAAUAGUUACUUGUCGGGGACAUGCAUUUAGUCUUGCAAUGUGCUGCAUUAAUUUAACACCACAUAAAAUAUGGAUUUUAUUGCAGCAGAGACAAUAA